rnacentral:rRNA from 1 species
GUACUAAAUACUUGUAUUUAUGCAUAUUCCUCCUAUUUAAACCUGCUUCAGUGCUCUUCAUCGAGUGUUGUUGUGGGCCGGUACAAUUACUUUGAACAAAUUAGAGUGCUUAAAGCAGGCUCCAAAUGCCUGAAUAUUUUGUGCAUGGAAUAAUGAAAUAAGACCUCUGUUCUACUUUCAUUGGUUUUUAGAUCAAGAGGUAAUGAUUAAUAGAAGCAGUUUGGGGGCAUUAGUAUUACGACGCGAGAGGUGAAAUUCUUGGACCGUCGUAAGACUAACUUAAGCGAAAGCAUUUGCCAAAGAUGUUUUCAUUAAUCAAGAACGAAAGUUAGAGGUUCGAAGGCGAUCAGAUACCGCCCUAGUUCUAACCAUAAACGAUGCCAGCUAGCAUUGGG